ensembl:antisense Grin1os uncharacterized LOC110285771
GAUUAGGGGUGGCUAUGCGCGCCCGGUGUCCCUGGGGCAGAGGGGCAGCACGCUGCUGCGCCCCAGUGGCUCGGGGAAGGCACGCGCUUGGACACUGGGAGAGCUAGUCAUGUACAAGGUUGGGUGCUCAGGCCCCAGGCCUUUCAAGAACACUCUAUCCAUGCUCAGAUCACCUGGGUGCUGCUGCCACACCUCCAUCAGGGACCUGUUCACCAUGGCAACACCCCACUCCCCACCUGACAGUCUCCCUGUAACCAAGGGUCAAUGCCAAUGCUAGGCCCCAGUCGUCCACCCAGAUGGACCCAGGCCCGGCCCCCAGCCCCCGGCCCACACAGAGACCACAUGGAAGAUGCAACACGCAUGGCUCUGGUGAGACAGGCGAUCUCGAUGAAAAUGAGGAAGAUCCCAGCUACGAUGCCUCCAGCCACCAGCAUGAAGACCCCUGUGUGAAGGGACCCUCAGCAGCCUGCCCAGAGGCUAGAGCCCCAAGAGAAUCCAUCCCAGGAUCACAGCAGCAUGGAAGGCGCACCUGCCAUGUUCUCAAAAGGGCUGUCCUUGCGCAUGCCGAUGCCAAAGCCAGAGCGGAAGAACAGCUCACCCGUGGUCACCAGAUCACACUUCUGUGAAGCCUCAAACUCCAGCACAGCUGAGUCCCAGAUGAAGGCAUGGAGCUUGCUGCCGGCAGAGUCAGGGUCAAAGGAGCCCCACGUAGCCUGUUCACCCCACCCUGCUCACACUGCAGAAGACAGUCUUCACUUGUGUUUGCUGGGUGAGAGGGCUCCCUUUUGCCUGUCCCUUUACUGUCCCCCCAGCCAGGGCGGCCCUUGGUCUGCCUGCUCACUUGUCCCGCACAGCCUGGAUGGCCUCAGCUGCACUUUCAUAAUUGUGCUUCUCCAUGUGCCGGUACAUGGUGCUCAACUCCACCUGCCUCCGGAAGUAGAUAUCCACAGAGCUCUGUUUUACAGUUGCAUAGAUGAACUUGUCUGAGGGGUUUCUGAGCUGCAGGGACAGAGACCUCAACUUGUGGCUGCUCCCCAAGCACCACAAGAAACAGACACUCCCUCUUAACCUCUUGACACCCCCACACACAACCUGCAGUCCAGAGGCCUCACCCUGGGGUCAUUGAUGCCUGUGAUGCGCUCCUCAGGCCUAUCCAGCACCAGGAAGGCUGCCAGGUUGGCAGUGUAGGAAGCCACGAUGAUCAUGGCAAAACCAGCCCACACCAUGCCUAGGAUACGAGCAGAGAAACUCCGGGGGGCACCUGUGGGCAGAGACUUGGGUCAGUUCCUGGAAAGCUGGGGAUGCAGCCAUGCAGGCCCUGGGCUUAACCUCACCUUCCCCAAUGCCAGAGUUGAGCAGGACGCCCCAGGAAAACCACAUGGCAGAGGACAGUGUCAGGGCAUCCUCCUCCUCCUCCUCACUGUUCACCUUGAAUCGGCCAAAGGGACUGCGGAGGGCAAAGAGAAGGCGGGAGAGAGGGCAGGAGAGGCAGCUCUGCCCAGCCCUGCUUAGUUCUGCCCCCCUACACAUGCAGGGGUCGGGCUCUCUGCAUGUGCUCACCUGAAGCGGUCCAGUAGGUACAGCAUCACGGCCACCACAUGAACUGACAGCCCCACCAGCAGCCACAGUGUGCUCUGAAAGGGCUGCAUGAAUGAGUCCAGUGUGCUCCGAGGGAUCUCCUGCAGGUGACCAAUGGUCGGUGUCACCUGGGCCUUCCAUGCCCCGUCCCAUCCCCACCUGGUCCCUGCCUACCUUCUUGACCAGAAUGGUCAGGCCCUGGUACUUGAAGGGCUUGGAGAACUCUAUGUACUGCGCACGCUCAUUGUUAAUGGUCAGUGGAGCCACGAUCAUGUCUGCUUGACCACUGAGCAGCUCUCCCAUCAUUCCGUUCCACUCCUUUUUGUUGCUGUUGUUUACCUGCAAUGAGACAGAACCGGUGGGGCUGCAGAUGGAAUGAUCACAACUCCUUGAAAAAGAACUCAUGGACCAUAGUAGACUUAGCACAUGGGGCGUUUGUCUCCUGCUCCAGGUCUACCUCACAUCUAAAGCCCAGCCCAAACCACCAGACCCCCCCCCCCCGCUAAAAAGGCUCCACCCAGCCCAUAGACUUUCCCCUCUCAAUUCACAGGACUCUCCCAUUAGCCCCUUUACUCCAUACCCGCUCCUGUGUGCCAAACUUGCCAUCUGCCACAAGGUGCACCUCGUAGGUAAAAUUCAUGGUCCGUGCCAGCUUGAUGAGCAGGUCAAUGCAGAAGCCAUAGCAGCACUGGGGCACUGUGUGACGUGCUGUGAGCAGUUAGGGGAUAUUAACUGUGGGUUCCUGACUUGGAGUCCCUUCACCCUGCCACACUUUGCCUAGUACUCACGGCUUCCUGGGGAUGUGUCAUUAGGCCCCGUACAGAUCACCUUCUUGACAGGGUCACCAUUGACUGUGAACUCCUCUUUGCAUGUGCCAUCACUCAUUGUGGGCUUGACAUACACGAAGGGCUCUUGGUGGAUUGUCACUAUCUGCACGGAAAGAUAAGAACUAGCCGGGGCCACCUGGCCUUGGUCAUUUCCAGGUGCUGGCUUCUCAGCGUGCAGUGAUCUUCUUCUUCUUCAUGUUUUCCAGUGCUGCAGUAAAUCCCAAGCCUAAAGCCUCCCUCUGAUUUUCAGUCAGUCCACAUCCUUCUGACAUGGCUAGUAUUGCCUGCCUGCUACCCUGGGGGACAGAUCCAGGUCUGGAGUUGUGGUGAUGCUGAGGCGGGGCUCAGACAUCUACAGCCACCUGCCCUGAUUCAUCAAAAAUGUAUCCUGCAGUACUGCGUCCUCUCCUGUGGCCCCUUCCUCUCAGGCUGCAUCUUAUACGUUAUUCUUUCUUUUUUUCCAGAUUUAAAAAAAAAUUUAUUU